UCUUUUUAAAAUACCUCCAAAAUUGUCUUAUUUCGUCUCUUUCACUCUUUCUUUUUCCCCCUCCUCCCAGCUCCUUCGCCCCACGGUGGAACCCUCCACGGCAGGUGCCAUUGAAGACAAAGUAGGUGGACAGAGCGGGCAGCAGCAGCGGUGGCGGUGGACUCCGGCGACAUUGUCUUCGUCUACACUUAGUAGCGGUGUUGUAGUGGUCCGAUUGCAAUACUAAGUGUAUAUGGCAGCCUCAGCAUGAAAUUCAGAUCCCACCUUCUCUCAAUAUAACUCAGAUCGGGGCUGUUGAAGAAGAUUCCGAGUUGAGAGAUGAAAGUUGAAGAUGGAAGCAAACAAUUUAUCUUUGGAGAGGAACUUGCAUAUCUUCGAUACGCCUAGAACUUAGCAGGGACAAUGUUCUUAAACAUUCACAAGUGGCAUUGACCAAGGAGGAGUUUGAAGACACUUAAUAUUCUACUUUUUUCUUUUUUGUCGUAUGUAUAUGCGUACAAUGACAACGAACAAUGAAGUAUUGUGUAGUAUGUAUUUAACUAACUUUGUAUUCAUGAAAGUAUUUAUAAUAUUUGACUUGAGAUAUGUUUUUA